GGGGGUGGGAGGGACGGGGGGAGUCUGACAAGCGCGAUUUCCAUUGCGCUCGCCCCUGCGCCGCUAUUUACUUUGAAACCCGAUUAGAACGGACCGUCUAUUGUCGCUAAAGAGGAAGAAACCCCGGUUAGACCGGGUGAAAAGCUAAGGGCGAGCAGAACGCAUGUGAAAUAAAUAGUGGCGCGGGGGUGAAAGGGGCUCGAGUCGAACCCCUGAAAGUUUUGGGACGCUUUGUUCAAAGCUGUAGUCUUAAUUAGGCUACGAACAUUGGCUGAUCCCCGAUAUGUCAACGGUUAUACAUGCAGCAAACAUUUCACCGCCCUUAAUGAUUCCAUCACCAAGUAAUCCAAAUCACACCGAUCAACAAAAUGAUCAGCAAUAAAAUGCACACAUUCGUCGCGUGCAGUUCUCAAUGAACGGCGCAAAAGACGAAGUAAAAGUACCGGGAUGCGCGCGAGCUGCUGCCAGUUUGGCCACUGUAAUAGCGGCGUCUAUAUAAUGGGAUGCGAUAUCAUGACGGAGAGAGGGAAUAAAAGGUCGAUAGCUUAGACACAGAGGGCGAAGCCUAAUGUUUUGACUCUUAAAAGGUGAUUCUGAAUGUUAUUGUUUACCGGUGUUGUUUUUAUUGAUCCAAUAAGGGCGGAAGUUCCUGCUGUAAUGGCAAAGCAAACCGGCUUUUUUUGUGCAUGAAUACUGAAGCUCGCGCUUCACUACAGGCUUUACAGGCUUAUAAUGUCUGGAUCGGGCUGCCAUCUAGCGUACAGUAGCUAGACAAUUACAGGGAAAUAGGAGUGAAUAAUUUAUUGUUAGCGGGUAUUUUACAAAAUAUUGCUUAGGACUUUUUUUUUCUUUUUCUUUUUUUUGCAUUUAAUGAGGUUUGCUUUAUUGAUGUAUUUUUGUUAAUGAAAAAAAAGAAGCAUUUUGACUGUAUUUCCGGCAAUUUAGUUAAACCUUAAUGCUUUUGGUAAAAUAAGAUAUUCAGAUCAUUUGGCGUAAGUUCGAUUAUUAGUUCGGAAGCAUUGUUUUUAUUCAAUUAAUUGUUUAUUUUUUUUAGGCUUUAUGAUUUAUAUUGUGUAAACACCGAUAUUUAGACGAUUGUAAAUAUAAUACCUCACGUAAACACGUAUACGGACAAAAUUCCAGCGAAGCAUUAUUUCGGAAGUUAGACAUUAAUGAGGCUCAAAACAUCGCUGUUUUUGGUGAAAGAGUGUUUGCGCAUCGUCUCUUCUGUUCCGCAAACGCACCGCGCUGCCCUCUGUCCUCGGCACACAAAAAAAGACUGGGAAGAGAGCGAGGGAGAGGCGAGAGAGAGGGAGAGGGGCAGCGAAUGGGAACGCAAGGCGAAGGCAGGGAAACAGCGAGAGAGAGAGAGGGAGAAGAGAAGAAGGAGAAGUGGACACCGCUGCAAACACACGCCGCUACACUGCAACACCGUUCCCUGGAAUUCUGCUCGUUUCGCACAGGUUUGGCUAACAGUGAAACUUGAGCAGCUGCAGGUAUGUCUAUACACACAUGCCCACACACAGCGCAAUAAUAUCAUAAUAAUAUCAGCAACAUAAUACCACUGUUUAUGCGGUAUAGGAGAUUUUUUUUGCCCCUGGGGCGGCUCAUCCAUAUUUCUCAUCCAUUUCUACAAUGCGAGCACUAAUUUUCACCUGGUGACUUAUAUAGAAGAGCGUAAUCGAAUUACAUAAAAAUAUCGUCUGCUGUAUAACAUUUCUGUCUGUAUAUGUUGUUUAUUCGAAUUGUAUUAGAGUUUAUAUAUAACACCAUAAUGUUACUGCAGGGAUGAAAAAAAAAAACAAACAACCAUGCCUAGUCUUGUCAAGUAGGACUGUCUUGAUGCUUUUGCAUUGGUCUUACCCAGUGAAUGUCUACAGAUUGAGAGGGGCAGUUGAGAAUGUCAGUUUUCCAUCUUUGUCCGUCUUGUCAGUAUUUGAGUGAAAUCGUCCCUCGUCAUUACUGCGAUGCUGAAAUGUCAUCUUUUGACAAAGCGACUGACUAAGUGUGGGCUUUUGGACACACUUUCUGUCAUUCUUCGCAUCUGGCAGGCAGAUGAUGGAAUUUGUUCAUGAAAGCAUGUGUGUCCACCCAUACGUUCUUUUCCCUGCCUCUCAUUUCAGCAUGUUCUUCAGCACGGAUAUGGAAAGCUGUGGUCACAUGUCACAUAAUGACAGCUCUGUUAGUUGCUGUCUGUUUGUUACGAAAAUGCACUGACCUCAUCAACAUAAUCAGCGGCUAUGAUUGUAUUGUUUAUAAUGAUAACAUGAACUGAAGAAUGCUUGCUAAGACAUCCAAUAAAUAUGUUUGAAUGGGAAUGAUUGUAAUUAUUAUUUUUUUUGUGAGUCACUGCUUCGUAAAAAGCUCUACUUGUGCUUGCUAAAUUGUCUGUUUUAUCUGUCUGCCAUCUCUGACAUUCUUCCAGCAGUAUAUAUGCUUAGGUCAUAAAAUUGGGGCUCAGAGUGGAUUGAAAAUGUUCAUGUUAAAAUGGCAGACGGCAACAGAGUUCACAUAUGUUCAAAGGUAAAAUAUAGGACCUUGAAGAGUCCUGUCCUCCGAGGGAACCAUUAAACUGAAACUCUUUUGGAUCGGCUUGAAACUCUUUUCUUAUCCGAACUAAAACCUUUUGGAAGCUGAGAAGCCUUGGCUAUACAGAAGAACCAUAUUAAGAAUCAGUACAGGAACACUAACUGAAAAACAAACACAGGAAGUGCUAUGCCUACAUCUCUGUUUAUGCUCUGUCCUUCUCUCACACUGUACAAUGUGUGUGUCCUCUUUCACCUCUCUCUAUCAGCUCUAUCAGAUCUGAGCAGGAAAGAAUGCAGCAGUCCCAAACACACACAUUCCUCUAGGCUAGCUUUAUAAUAUUCCCGUCCGAAACAUGCAUUACAGCCUUAAUUUCAUGUGAAAUAAUAAUAAAAAAGCACAAAAUGUAUUCACAGCUGUGUUCUUCCUGGACUUCCUGCAUAACAACUGCAUUGUUUUGGGAAAUGUACUGUAUAUUAAGUGUCUUGAAUACCUGUGUAGAGAUAUAUAAACUACAUAAACAACUAUAAUGUAAAUACUGAGCAUGUAUAUACUGUUCCAACUGGAAUGCAGUAGUACAUUUGUAUAAAUGUAUAUCUAGAAAGAACACAAGUGCAUGUUGGCACAAGUGUAUGCUGACAUCAGGUCUCUCUCGUGUGUAACAGGGGAAGAUAAAUUCAUUUGUGCUGGAUUGCCAAUGAGAUUUUCUUUCUGAUUGUGACAGUAUGUACAUAACUGACCAGUAAAUGUUUUUUCUGUAUAGUUUCCAAGUAAGUAAACACACUUUAUUAUAAUUUAUUAUAACAAGUUAUUAUAAUUUGUUUUUAUAAAACACAAAGGCUAAAUAAAAAAGUCAACAAACAUAACGGAGAUGGAAAUAAGAAAGAGAUAGCAAAACAGUAAAAGCCCAAAUUAAAAAAAAAAAAAGGGUAAAGAAAGUAAGUAAGAAUAAAGAUAAAUUAAUUCAGCCACAUCUUUUAUUAUCCUAAUCAUGACUGCACAGUAUGUGGCUGCUAAAUAUCUCCUCAUAUUACAAAAUGAUAAUUGGCUUACUUAAUGUUCACUAUUAUCAUUUGAUGCUAAUGUCAUGUCUGACAGAGCACAGAGAACGAAUAUGAUACCACUCGGUCCCUCGUUGUGUCCUGGACUUUUCCUUCUAGGUAUUUGUGACUCAGCCGUGCCAGCAUGAACAAAAGCUAUGCUUCUUCAUCUAUUAGAGCAUGGUUAAAGGUAAGUGGCACCCCCUAUUAGGAUGACAAGGAAAUUAAUGGUACAGUCUGUCCCCUGGUUGUGCAUUACUUAUUUAUAAGUUAACAACCUUUCCUUGCUUUGGGCAUGUCUGUUACAAUUUUUGAGAGCGCAGGUGAACGCCUCAUACACCUGAGAUACGACUGGCACGAAAGCAAAUAUACAGUGUAUUUACUGUUAAUCUCUUAAAAAAAAAAAAAAAAAAAAAAAUGUUACUGUGACUGAGCCUUUAGUGUAUUUGUACAGAACACUACUGAAGGAAACAUCAUGUAUUCGAAUGAAAUAAACUGACCACUAGCAUGUACAUCUUGUCGUUUCCUUUUUUUUCUCUCCCUUUGUCUGAUAUCACAUGGUUUAUCGAGGGCAUUAUUGUGUACAGCUCUCAAAGGACCAAGAUGCUUCCCUUUGCGGAUCACGUGGCAGGAUCAUGUGUGUAGUUAUGAAUUUCUUAUUGGCUGGCAACAAUGUGGCAUGUAUUACUGGAUUUUUUAUGGCAUGGGGUGGGGUGUCUAUGGGCAUAACCUUUGUAUAGGAGCAUAGCUAAGCUUUUAACCAUUCGUGCUGAUGAGGGGACCGCAGCCCUAAUUUUGUGGGUGAUGACACCUGCCCUUUUCAGCAGGCUGCAGGAGAAGCCAUGGGAAUGCUCGCAUGCAACAGAGGGUCUGAGCAUUGGAACAAUGUGCGUGAAUGUGCUGCCACAUGAACAAUGCAACACCACAUGGUGAGGUGAUGGUGGGUGGAAAAGAGAUCGCUGUUUUCAAUGCCCACCCCCACUGUGAUUCCCCUCUCUCUUUCUCUCUCCCCUCCUGUAGUCCCCUCCUCUUUGGUGGACCUUCCUAUAAAUCUUUUCUGUCAUACCUGUUUUUUGUACAGUGUGAAUAAGUAAACAGCAAAUCCCAAUGUCCUGCCUUUAUGAGGACACAGCCCAGUAGACACAAGACUUACUGGAUACAGGAUUAUGUCCUGUAUCAUGCAGUAGCUGUAUUUAUAAUCUGUCUUUCAUCCCUCUGUGUUCACACACAGGACUAUGGGGUUGCAGCUGUGUGGCAGCUGCCUUUACUGUGUGUCUAGCCUUGUGUGGAUCUUGCCUUGUAAGUCUGUGUGUGUGUGUGUGUGUGUGUGUGUGUGUGUGUGUUGUGCCAGAGUGUGUUGUGCGAGCCCUGUCCCUCGGGGCUUUCUCCCUGAGCCCAGACUCUCUGAUUCGGUGUGUAAAAGCGCCUCUGAAUGAUGGAUUACAGUGUCACCGCAGCCUGCGAAGGAUUAAUUUGUUUCAUUGAUUUCUCUUUAGGCAGAAAGCCAGCGUUUGCCGCUUCCCACCUCCUUCCCAGAGACUCCCAGUCGUAAUAGACGGUAAUGGCCUAAGACAAAUCAACCCGUUUCUUGUAAAAAUAGCAGCAAAUAACCCCUGACUUCAUGUCACGAGCAGAAGUGGAGAGGCGCUCGAUUCUGAAGGCCUCACAACGGGCAUGAACCUCAUGAGGAGGCUUGGGCUAUGUUUGAACAAAGCCAUAAGUCUGGAAUACUUACAAUUUUCAACUCGGGAUAGAUUGGUAACGAUCGUCUGUCUGACUUUUCAGGUUAAUCCUGGUUUUCCUUCUUAUGAUGACUCAGGCAAGCAGCUACUCUGUCUUUAACCGUAGUUUAAACAUUUAUUAAACUACAUUCACUGUAACUACUGAUAUUAGCUAUUUCAGUCUCUGUAAACAUAUAAGAGAAAUAAAAGGAUCAUAUGGCAAGAAUCCCUCUGAAUGGAGGUCUAAGUAUGAGUGGACUGCCUGGAAGGAUGUGGUUGCUGUGUGGCAGACCUGGGCAGAGGUUCAGAGGGUUUGUAGUGCUCUAGCCAGGGCUCCCCAUGUGCUCCCUCGGGGACCUGGAAACACACACACACACACAUACACACACACACACACACACACACACACACA
ensembl:lncRNA